rnacentral:rRNA from 1 species
AUUGAACGCUGGCGGCAGGCCUAACACAUGCAAGUCGAGCGGCAGCGCGGGGCAACCUGGCGGCGAGCGGCGAACGGGUGAGUAAUACAUGGGAAUCUGCCUGGUAGUGGGGGGAUAACUCUGGGAAACUAGAGGUAAUACCGCAUACGUCCUACGGGAGAAAGCGGGGGAUCUUCGGACCUCGCGCUAUCAGAGGAGCCCAUGUCCGAUUAGCUAGUUGGUGAGGUAAAGGCUCACCAAGGCGACGAUCGGUAACUGGUCUGAGAGGAUGGUCAGUCACACUGGAACUGAGACACGGUCCAGACUCCUACGGGAGGCAGCAGUGGGGAAUAUUGGACAAUGGGGGCAACCCUGAUCCAGCCAUGCCGCGUGUGUGAAGAAGGCCU